UAAAUUAAUUGUAAUUAUUAUUUAAUAAAUUUGGUAUUUGAAAUUUGAAUGUCAAAAUAAGAGCCACAAUAACAUUGACAGAGUAAAAAAAUAGCUUGAAAUGCAUGUAACAAUAUGAUUUCACUUUUUAUAACUUGCAAUGUUUUGCCGAAAGCUCCAUCUCCUCCAACGCAGACGUAAACUAUUUUAAAUAGAGGAAAGUAAUCAGAAAGAAAAAUCAACAAAUUAAAUACAAAUAAUAAGUUGAACGUAACAAUUAUAAUAUCCACCAAGGUAUAUCUAGGUGCACUUUGUAUUCCCGCAUGCCGAACGGUGUUAGAAUGUGACGGGUGGAUGCCUCCCGGAGAGAAUUGUGCAAAAAAGUGCUGUUUUAAACCGAAGAAAAUAAUCAGAAUAAAAAUCAACAAAUUAAACACAAACAAUAAGUUGAACAAUUAUAAUACCCACCAGUGCAUAACUAUGUGCACUUUGCUUGUGUGAUGAAUGAAAAUUAUAUUUUACUCUAUUCAGAUCAAAACCAAGUGCUACAAGUUUGUUUGCUUGUGUGAAUGAAAAAUAUAUUGGAAAACUUGUAUUCAUUAUUCAGUCUUCACGCUAGAUCAGGGGGAGGUCUUCACACAAGCAGUAAUAUUUAUUCAGGGAUUUACAAGAAAACUUGUAGUCUUCACAAGAAAACUUGUAUCGUUCACAAAGCAGUAACAUUUAUUCAAUCAUUCAAGCUAGCACAAAACAUAUAUUCUUUAAUUUUAACAAUUCAUAUUGUUCAAUCAUUCAAUUAUUCAAUCAUUCAACAAUUAUUCAAUCACACAAACCGAACGGCAGGAAAAAGAAACACUCUAAAUCCCUAGAUCAAACACAUUAACACAAUUUUAACAAUUCAAAUAGCAAUUNNNNNNNNNNNNNNNNNNNNNNNNNNNNNNNNNNNNNAACAUACAAGAGAAUAAAAAAUAAAAUCAAUGUUACCUAGACGAAUCCGAUUCUGGAACAAACGUAGCCGAUGAUGGACAAGUGAUUCCGGAAGAGGUGAAUGAGCGUUUGAAGGUUGAAGGAAGGGCAAGAAGAAGAGGCAAUUGCAUAAGAGGAGAAACGGCGACAGCGACGACAAUUGCAGAAGAGAAGAAGCGGCGACGGCGAAGAAGAAGCGACGACGGNNNNNNNNNNNNCGAUGAUAAGAAUGGAAAGAAGCAGAUCGUGUAAAUUUUGGUGGCUGAAGCUUGUUGUGAUGAAAUUUGAUGGUAAAUUGAUGUGUUUACCCAAAUAGCCUAAAAUAUAAUUAAAGAAAAUUAGUAACCUAAAAUAUAAUUAAUUAAAAAUAAAAGCAUGUCAAAAUUACUUUGUGGUAAAAUAAUAUUUAUGUUUGACUUAGAUACAUGUGGAUGGAUUUUAUU
rnacentral:lncRNA from 1 species